GCUCCUGUUUGCGGUUGACACCUGUCCACCCCAUACAAUCUGUAAGACUCCAACUACUAACAUGGCCAAGACCAAAGAGCUGUCCAAAGACACCAAAGACAAAAUUGUAGACCUCCACAAGGCUGGAAAGGGCUACGGGGCAAUUGCCAAGCAGCUUGGUGAAAAAAGAUCCACUGUAGGAGCAAUCAUUAGAAAAUGGAAGAAGCUAAACAUGACU